rnacentral:tRNA from 1 species
UAAGAACAAGCUAUUUAGCAUUUCAUUUACACUGAAAAGAUGCUUGUAUAUAGUUACAAGGUUCUUAA